AGAGUUUGAUCCUGGCUCAGAUUGAACGCUGGCGGAAUGCUUUACACAUGCAAGUCGAACGGCAGCACGGACUUCGGUCUGGUGGCGAGUGGCGAACGGGUGAGUAAUAUAUCGGAACGUAUCCAAUAAUGGGGGAUAACUAAUCGAAAGGUUGGCUAAUACCGCAUACGCCCUACGGGGGAAAGCUAGGGACCUUCGGGCCUGGCGUUAAUGGAGCGGCCGAUAUCUGAUUAGCUAGUUGGUGAGGUAAGGCUCACCAAGGCGACGAUCAGUAGCUGGUCUGAGAGGACGACCAGCCACACUGGAACUGAGACACGGUCCAGACUCCUACGGGAGGCAGCAGUGGGGAAUUUUGGACAAUGGGCGCAAGCCUGAUCCAGCCAUUCCGCGUGAGUGAAGAAGGCCUUCGGGUUGUAAAGCUCUUUCGCAAGGGAAGAAAACUUAGAUACUAAUAUUAUCUGAGGUUGACGGUACCUUGAUAAGAAGCACCGGCUAACUACGUGCCAGCAGCCGCGGUAAUACGUAGGGUGCGAGCGUUAAUCGGAAUUACUGGGCGUAAAGCGUGCGCAGGGCUGUUUUGUAAGUCAGAUGUGAAAUCCCCGAGCUCAACUUGGGAACUGCGUUUGAAACUACAAGACUAGAAUAUGUCAGAGGGGGGUAGAAUUCCACGUGUAGCAGUGAAAUGCGUAGAGAUGUGGAGGAAUACCAAUGGCGAAGGCAGCCCCCUGGGAUAAUAUUGACGCUCAUGCACGAAAGCGUGGGGGAGCAAACAGGAUUAGAUACCCUGGUAGUCCACGCCC
rnacentral:rRNA from 1 species